AUGAACGCUGGCGGCGUGCCUAAUACAUGCAAGUCGAGCGAACGGACGAGAAGCUUGCUUCUCUGAUGUUAGCGGCGGACGGGUGAGUAACACGUGGAUAACCUACCUAUAAGACUGGGAUAACUUCGGGAAACCGGAGCUAAUACCGGAUAAUAUUUUGAACCGCAUGGUUCAAAAGUGAAAGACGGUCUUGCUGUCACUUAUAGAUGGAUCCGCGCUGCAUUAGCUAGUUGAUAAGGUAACGGCUUACCAAGGCAACGAUGCAUAGCCGACCUGAGAGGGUGAUCGGCCACACUGGAACUGAGACACGGUCCAGACUCCUACGGGAGGCAGCAGUAGGGAAUCUUCCGCAAUGGGCGAAAGCCUGACGGAGCAACGCCGCGUGAGUGAUGAAGGUCUUCGGAUCGUAAAACUCUGUUAUUAGGGAAGAACAUAUGUGUAAGUAACUGUGCACAUCUUGACGGUACCUAAUCAGAAAGCCACGGCUAACUACGUG
rnacentral:rRNA from 1 species